AUGACUAACCUCUGUUUGGUGGUGCAGGAGGAGAAACUGAAGCGGCCGCUCUCACACAUGCAGGCGUGGGAGAUUGCCCAUACGCGGAAGGACCCCAAGCCUGGCGAGCCCAAGUACUACGGCAAGAAGACCGCGCAUAGGAAGAAGGCCUACUCCGAUGGGUAUCUGGCGUUACAUCCUGACACACCUGACCCCAUUGCGGCAGAUCUGGACGAAAGGGUGGUGGUGGGCAUGGGGCCGAAGGAGCACGGUCGGGAGGCGGUUCUCGAUGCUGUGAUCACUCCUACUAUCUUCUACACACAGCUCCGUCGGAUCGACCCGACCCUGAGCCAGCGCACGAGCACGCCCAUGAGCAGUGCACCGUCACAGUCCCUCUUUCAGGAGCAGCAAAAUGUAAGUAUUUUCCCUUUUAUCUUCAUUGCUCACUUUAUUUUCCGCAUUUAG
rnacentral:rRNA from 1 species